rnacentral:rRNA from 1 species
AUUGAACGCUGGCGGCAGGCCUAACACAUGCGAGUCGAGCGGAUGAAGGGAGCUUGCUCCUGGAUUCAGCGGCGGACGUGUGAGUAAUGCCUAGGAAUCUGCCUGGUAGUGGGGGAUAACGUCCGGAAACGGGCGCUAAUACCGCAUACGUCCUGAGGGAGAAAGUGGGGGAUCUUCGGACCUCACGCUAUCAGAUGAGCCUAGGUCGGAUUAGCUAGUUGGUGGGGUAAAGGCCUACCAAGGCGACGAUCCGUAACUGGUCUGAGAGGAUGAUCAGUCACACUGGAACUGAGACACGGUCCAGACUCCUACGGGAGGCAGCAGUGGGGAAUAUUGGACAAUGGGCGAAAGCCUGAUCCAGCCAUGCCGCGUGUGUGAAGAAGGUCUUCGGAUUGUAAAGCACUUUAAGUUGGGAGGAAGGGCAGUAAGUUAAUACCUUGCUGUUUUGACGUUACCAACAGAAUAAGCACCGGCUAACUUCGUG